rnacentral:rRNA from 1 species
GGGUUGUGAGGUUAAGCGACUAAGCGUACACGGUGGAUGCCCUGGCAGUCAGAGGCGAUGAAGGGCGUGCUAAUCUGCGAUAAGCGCCGGUAAGGUGAUAUGAACCGUUAUAACCGGCGAUACCCGAAUGGGGAAACCCAGUGUGAUUCGUCACACUAUCAUUAACUGAAUCCAUAGGUUAAUGAGGCGAACCGGGGGAACUGAAACAUCUAAGUACCCCGAGGAAAAGAAAUCAACCGAGAUUCCCCCAGUAGCGGCGAGCGAACGGGGAGGAGCCCAGAGCCUGAAUCAGCAUGUGUGUUAGUGGAAGCGUCUGGAAAGGCGCGCGAUACAGGGUGACAGCCCCGUACACAAAAGCGCAUAUGCUGUGAGCUCGAUGAGUAGGGCGGGACACGUGGUAUCCUGUCUGAAUAUGGGGGGACCAUCCUCCAAGGCUAAAUACUCCUGACUGACCGAUAGUGAACCAGUACCGUGAGGGAAAGGCGAAAAGAACCCCGGCGAGGGGAGUGAAAAAGAACCUGAAACCGUGUACGUACAAGCAGUGGGAGCACCCUUUGGGGUGUGACUGCGUACCUUUUGUAUAAUGGGUCAGCGACUUAUAUUCUGUAGCAAGGUUAACCGUAUAGGGGAGCCGCAGGGAAACCGAGUCUUAACCGGGCGUUAAGUUGCAGGGUAUAGACCCGAAACCCGGUGAUCUAGCCAUGGGCAGGUUGAAGGUUGGGUAACACUAACUGGAGGACCGAACCGACUAAUGUUGAAAAAUUAGCGGAUGAUCUGUGGCUGGGGGUGAAAGGCCAAUCAAACCGGGAGAUAGCUGGUUCUCCCCGAAAGCUAUUUAGGURGCGCCUCGUGAACUCAUCUCCGGGGGUAGAGCACUGUUUCGGCUAGGGGGCCAUCC